AACGGCCAUACCAUGCUGAAUAUACCGGUUCUCGUUAGAUCACCGAAGUCAAGCAUCAUUGGGCGCGGUCAGUACUUGGGUGGGUGACCACUUGGGAACACCGCGUGCCGUU
rnacentral:rRNA from 1 species